GCAAACAUCACGCAGGCUUGUACUGCUUGCAAACAUGCACACGCGUGUGAUGGUUGAUUAAAAUUGCUGUUUUCUGAGGGUAUCUGCGUGCAGCGUGCGUGGAAUCCGGGCAGGUCUCUGCUUUUCAUCCAGACCUUCCCUGGUGAAAAACAAAUAUACUUUAUUGUAUUUCAAGUAUAUUUAACUUUGCAAUAGUACAUUACAAAUAUACUUACAAAGGAAUGUACUUUCUUUAAACAUAUUUAAAGUAUGCUUACAACAUAUUUGCGCGUAUUUUUUACAAUUAAACUUUUAACAUACUUCAAAAUAAUUAUACUUUAGUAUAUUUUCUAAAAGUAUACUUUAGAAAAAUAUACUUAAAGUUAAAGUUUUGUGCAAUUUUUAAAGUAUACUAAAUUUAAACUUAUUUUAAAAUGUAUUUUAGGUAUACUUUAUCGGUAUGCUUAAAGUUAUCAUUAUAAUAAUGCACUGACAGUAUAUUUCUAAAAUACAUUAUUUAGUAUUCUUUAGAAACAGUAUAUUUUAAGCACAUUUUGAAAGUAUAUGGGGUGUACAAAUGUAUAUUAUUUUAUGGAGAAAUAACGUGGGCUUAAAAUUACGAGAGAGCAGUAUGUUCUGUUACAUUUUAUAUUGUAGAUGUAUACAUUUGUAAUAUACUAUUAACAUAAUAAGGUACACUUUAACUUCACUAUAGUCAAGCAUUGGAUAAACCAAUUAACUGUGUUUUACCACAAAAUAACCAUGGUUUUGCUAAUAAUAAUCAAUACACCAAAAAAAACAUGGUUACUAAACUUUUACCACACAAAAAAAAACAUUCAUUUUCGUAAGGGGAAUAUGAGUGUUUGUUUUUUUUUGUAGUUUUUGAGUCAAUUGCAUACCGCUUUUAGCUGUAAACAUUAAUUAACUUAAACAGUUUUCGUAAAUGCAUUUCAGAGAAAAGUGAAUUCUGAGAUUUGAAUAAUGCAUCUGACGUGUGGGAUGACGUCACGACGCACGUAUUUUGAUUUUUACCAAUCGUUCAAGGCGGACGGAUUCAGUCCCAAGAAGCUAAAGUUUUUCAAAGACAUUUGUAGGGAGGACUUUGCAGCUAAUGAUUUCCUAAGGCUGAACCAAAACCUGCCAGACUAAAGUUGAUUUGGGAGAGAAAGACGUUGUAAACUUAAUCAUCUUGACAUUCUUCAAUGAGUAAUUGUUCAAUUUGUAGGCAAAUACUGUACACUUUGAAUGCUGUGAAU